GGAGAACUGGGAGGGAUGGGGGGAGGGGGAGAAGGAAGGGGAGAAAGAACAAAACAUGAUUCCAAUGGGAGGGAUCAAAAGGGCAAAUGGGGAGAAGUCAGCUAACAUGUGGGAACAAUGUCUAGACAAGGCAAUUCGUAUGGAAAGCCUGAAUGUUAAUCAGGCAUGCCCAGACGAUAUUAGCCAAAGCCAACAGAUCAGAAGAG